rnacentral:misc_RNA from 1 species
GUUUCGGUGUGUCGGAUCCCUGCUCGGGCAGCGACGGCAUUUCCCGCACGUCUCUUCAUUUGUUGGCGCGAGCGUGAGCUCGGCCGAUGUUGGUUUUCCUGUGCUGAAUACCUAUCGCGAAGGCAUUAAGUCGGCUAGAAUCGUCUCUUUCCCGUCUUGCGCUGCUGCUCCUUGCGGGCAAGCGGUGCGGGAUGGGCCGAAUGGCUCACGUUGUGUGUUACAUUCCCGUUCUCCUAUAAAAGGAGGAUCGGGUUGAUGACCCACGACCGAUAGCUUGGUCUCUCGGGUGCGGAACAUCGUGUGGGUACGGGGACAUCGGUCCUUGAUUACCACAAACAAGCGUUCUACGCUUCGUGCGAACGACGGCCGGUUCGGUCUUUGGCCUYGCCCUCGUGGCUUGGUUCGGAGUCGGUCCGACGUCGA